UACGUAGGGGGCAAGCGUUGUCCGGAAUCAUUGGGCGUAAAGCGCGUGUAGGCGGCUUGAUAAGUCUGCUCUGAAAGCCCGGGGCUCAACCCUGGGAGGCGGGUGGAUACUGUCGAGCUCGAGUCCGGAAGAGGCGAGUGGAAUUCCUGGUGUAGCGGUGAAAUGCGCAGAUAUCAGGAGGAACACCUACGGCGAAGGCAGCUCGCUGGGACGGUACUGACGCUGAGACGCGAAAGCGUGGGGAGCAAACAGG
rnacentral:rRNA from 1 species